rnacentral:rRNA from 1 species
GUACCUACAGGGCGCAGCAGUCGGGAAUAUUGCGCAAUGGAGGAAACUCUGACGCAGUGACGCCGCGUAUAGGAAGAAGGUUUUCGGAUUGUAAACUAUUGUCGUGAGGGAAGAAGAUGACAGUACCUCAGGAGGAAGCUCCGGCUAACUAUGUGCCAGCAGCCGCGGUAAUACAUAGGGAGCAAGCGUUAUCCGGGAUUAUUGGGUGUAAAGGGUGCGUAGACGGGAAAUUAAGUUAGUUGUGAAAUCCCUUGGCUUAACUGAGGAACUGCAACUAAAACUGAUUUUCUUGA